GGGCCCGUAGCCCAGUCUGGACGCGAGCAGCACGCCGCCGUGCCUGCCCUCGCGGGACAGAUAAGGCGACAGCCUUCUAAGCUGUAGAUCGGGGGUUCGAAUCCCCCCGGGCCCA
rnacentral:tRNA from 1 species